rnacentral:hammerhead_ribozyme from 1 species
AUCCAGUUGAUGAGUCCCAAAUAGGACGAAACGCGCGUCCAGAGU